rnacentral:ncRNA from 1 species
UUAUUGGAGAGUUUGAUCCUGGCUCAGGACGAACGCUGGCGGCGUGCCUAAUACAUGCAAGUCGAGCGGACAGAGAUGAGAGCUUGCUCUUAUCAAAGUUAGCGGCGGACGGGUGAGUAACACGUGGGCAACCUGCCUGUAAGACUGGGAUAACUUCGGGAAACCGAAGCUAAUACCAGAUAACAGUAGAGAGUGCAUACUUUCUAUUUAAAAGAUGCUACGGCAUCACUUACAGAUGGGCCCGCGUCGCAUUAGCUAGUUGGUGAGGUAACGGCUCACCAAGGCAACGAUGCGUAGCCGACCUGAGAGGGUGAUCGGCCACACUGGAACUGAGACACGGUCCAGACUCCUACGGGAGGCAGCAGUAGGGAAUCUUCCGCAAUGGGCGAAAGCCUGACGGAGCAACGCCGCGUGAGCGAAGAAGG